CAAACAUACGGACCGUCAGUCUACCAAGCAAUUGAAAUUGCUCGAUAGAAGAUCUUCCCUUUAUCGU
rnacentral:pre_miRNA from 1 species